CUGAGGCGGACUAUCAAGGUGAAAUACUGUGCAGCAUCUAACUUCAACAGUGGAGGCACAGCGUUAAAUCAGAAGCAGGGAAUAACUUUCUAUAGCUGACCAAGUUGGAGAACAUGGAGACAAACUCAGAGCCAAAGCUGGAGAAGAGAAUUUAUCACAAGAACUAGUGGUGAUAACGUGUGUGGUCAUCCUGAUCUCUGCUGGAAGUGAGUUCCACAUUCACACUCUACUUGCAAAAAGUUCUGUCUCCACACAUGCACUUCACUCUUGCUGUUGGCAGAUCCAUAUAUAUAGUGUGUGUCAUGAUAUAAAUGUUGCCAUGGUUAUAAUUCCUGUUUAGUAAAUAGUAUGAAAUAAAACCACAUCUGAUGGCAAUAAUGCAAUUUACACUGAUCCCAAGGUACUUUUAAAAUCAUUUCCCUCCCUUUACAUUUCUUGAAAAUCUUGGUAAUGAGUAACCACAGGUUGCAACUUCACAUAUAAGAUGCCAGUAUUGGAAACUCCAUUUCUUUCAGAAAACACUCUGCCUUAGUAAAUACUAGUUUUUCAUUUCUAUAGCAUACAUCACAGGCAAUACAAGUCACCAGACAGGAGGAUCUCUCUCUUCCCUUUCAGUUGCUGAGGUAGCUGCCACACACGGGUACCAGAUGGCUAUCAUCACUACGCCAUCAAACGUUGGAGAGGAAAGCUGGGAUUUCCUUGGGUCUGAGAACAGUUUUAGGAAUAAGAUUUUCCAGAU